rnacentral:rRNA from 1 species
GUACAAGCAGUGGGAGCACCUUCGUGGUGUGACUGCGUACCUUUUGUAUAAUGGGUCAGCGACUUAUAUUUUGUAGCAAGGUUAACCGUAUAGGGGAGCCGUAGGGAAACCGAGUCUUAACUGGGCGAUUAGUUGCAAGGUAUAGACCCGAAACCCGGUGAUCUAGCCAUGGGCAGGUUGAAGGUUGGGUAACACUAACUGGAGGACCGAACCGACUAAUGUUGAAAAAUUAGCGGAUGACUUGUGGCUGGGGGUGA